GAAUAGCUCAUUACAACAGCCAUAGUUUAUUGGAUCUUGACUUCCUACUUGGAUACCUGUGGUAAUUCUAGAGUUAAUACACGCACCCAAGCUCCAACCUCCGGGCGGAGCGCAUUUAUUAGAACAAAACCAAUCGGGCUCCGCCGUAAUUUGGUGAAUCUGAAUAACUCAGCUGAUCGCAUGGUCCUCGCACCUUCGACGUAUCUUUCAAGUGUCUGCCUUAUCAACUUUCGAUGGUAGUUUAUGUGCCUGAAUGGUUGUAACGGGUAACGGAGAAUAAGGGUUCGACUCCGGAGAGGGAGCCUGAGAAAUGGCUACCGAUCCAAGGAAGGCAGCAGGCGCGCAAAUUACCCACUCUCAGACNAGGAGGUAGUGACGAAAAAUAACGAGACGGGUCUCUACGAGGUCCGUCAUCGGAAUGGGUACAAUUUAAACCCCUUAACGAGGAUCUAUUGGAGGGCAAGUCUGGUGCCA
rnacentral:rRNA from 1 species